rnacentral:rRNA from 1 species
AGCAAGGUGCUGCAUGGCUGUUGUCAGCUCGUGCCGUGAGGUGUUGGGUUAAGUCCCGCAACGAGCGCAACCCCUAUCUUUAGUUGCCAACCGGUUAUGCUGGGGACUUUAAAGAGACUGCCUGCGCAUAACAGAGAGGAAGGAGGGGAUGACGUCAAGUCAUCAUGGCCCUUACGCCCAGGGCUACACACGUGCUACAAUG